CUCCAACCCCUGUGACAUACCACUUGUUGCCUCGGCGGAUCAGCCCGCUCCCGGUAAAACGGGACGGCCCGCCAGAGGACCCCUAAACUCUGUUUCUAUAUGUAACUUCUGAGUAAAACCAUAAAUAAAUCAAAACUUUCAACAACGGAUCUCUUGGUUCUGGCAUCGAUGAAGAACGCAGCAAAAUGCGAUAAGUAAUGUGAAUUGCAGAAUUCAGUGAAUCAUCGAAUCUUUGAACGCACAUUGCGCCCGCCAGUAUUCUGGCGGGCAUGCCUGUUCGAGCGUCAUUUCAACCCUCAAGCACAGCUUGGUGUUGGGACUCGCGUUAAUUCGCGUUCCUCAAAUUGAUUGGCGGUCACGUCGAGCUUCCAUAGCGUAGUAGUAAAACCCUCGUUACUGGUAAUCGUCGCGGCCACGCCGUUAAACCCCAACUUCUGAAUGUUGACCUCGGAUCAGGUAGGAAUACCCGCUGAACUUAAGCAUAUCAAUAAGCGGAGGA
rnacentral:rRNA from 1 species